rnacentral:rRNA from 1 species
AUAGGUUAAUGAGGCGAACCGGGGGAACUGAAACAUCUAAGUACCCCGAGGAAAAGAAAUCAACCGAGAUUCCCCCAGUAGCGGCGAGCGAACGGGGAGGAGCCCAGAGCCUGAAUCAGUGUGUGUGUUAGUGGAAGCGUCUGGAAAGGCGCGCGAUACAGGGUGACAGCCCCGUACACAAAAAUGCACAUAUUGUGAGCUCGAUGAGUAGGGCGGGACACGUGGUAUCCUGUCUGAAUAUGGGGGGACCAUCCUCCAAGGCUAAAUACUCCUGACUGACCGAUAGUGAACCAGUACCGUGAGGGAAAGGCGAAAAGAACCCCGGCGAGGGGAGUGAAAAAGAACCUGAAACCGUGUACGUACAAGCAGUGGGAGCCUCUUAAUGGGGUGACUGCGUACCUUUUGUAUAAUGGGUCAGCGACUUAUAUUCUGUAGCAAGGUUAACCGAAUAGGGGAGCCGAAGGGAAACCGAGUCUUAACUGGGCGUUAAGUUGCAGGGUAUAGACCCGAAACCCGGUGAUCUAGCCAUGGGCAGGUUGAAGGUUGGGUAACACUAACUGGAGGACCGAACCGACUAAUGUUGAAAAAUUAGCGGAUGACUUGUGGCUGGGGGUGAAAGGCCAAUCAAACCGGGAGAUAGCUGGUUCUCCCCGAAAGCUAUUUAGGUAGCGCCUCGUGAAUUCAUCUCCGGGGGUAGAGCACUGUUUCGGCAAGGGGGUCAUCCCGACUUACCAACCCGAUGCAAACUGCGAAUACCGGAGAAUGUUAUCACGGGAGACACACGGCGGGUGCUAACGUCCGUCGUGAAGAGGGAAACAACCCAGACCGCCAGCUAAGGUCCCAAAGUCAUGGUUAAGUGGGAAACGAUGUGGGAAGGCCCAGACAGCCAGGAUGUUGGCUUAGAAGCAGCCAUCAUUUAAAGAAAGCGUAAUAGCUCACUGGUCGAGUCGGCCUGCGCGGAAGAUGUAACGGGGCUAAACCAUGCACCGAAGCUGCGGCAGCGACGCUUAUGCGUUGUUGG